rnacentral:lncRNA from 1 species
UAGUUGAAAUGUACGAGUUCUCAUUAUCUUUCUCAAGUUACUCUUUCAAAUGUUUUUCUUUUUUAACUUUCUUAUCUUUGAUUAUUAUCCCUUUUUGAGUUUGUGGUGAAAGAGAGGCUUUCUUAGCUUUGAAUGAAUUGAAGCAGCAGCUGUUUUUGAAUGAGCUCGAUGAACUAUUCUAAGUUUCAUUGUAAGAGCAGUUGAUUGGGGCGAACACUUUGGUGAAAAGUUAGUGGUGAUGUAGUCAGUAGUAGGGGUUGGUAAGGAUAUGAGUAGGUAGGGUAAGAUCCACCAUAUGGGUUUCGCCCUCUUUUUCCUUAAACAAGAGUAGUCCUCUAUCUAGGCUAUUGUUCUUAUCUGCAUUUUCCAUCCUCCCACACUUGAUGACAUUCUCAAGAAGCUAUUCUAAUAUCACUGUAUCAACAAAAUUCUUUGUGGCACUACCCACUUCAUCAUCAGCUCACAGGGUGCUGACAAAGAAGACAAAACUUCUCCUGUUCUAGUAGCAGUGGCUAUACUCGUAUUGUCAACCCCUCCAUCUUUGUGCAUAUUGUUUAGAAUUGUCAAUCAGUUUCUUCUGCAUACUUUGUAGUGCGGGUCAUGACUUAUGCUAAUCUAGGAAUGUCUUUGUUAGAUCCUUUAAUGAUCAGAGUUUGUAGCUUUCCAAUUGAUUCCCAUGUCAAUUUUU